UACGUAGGGUGCAAGCGUUAAUCGGAAUUACUGGGCGUAAAGCGUGCGCAGGCGGCUUUGCAAGACAGAUGUGAAAUCCCCGGGCUUAACCUGGGAACUGCAUUUGUGACUGCAUGGCUGGAGUGCGGCAGAGGGGGAUGGAAUUCCGCGUGUAGCAGUGAAAUGCGUAGAUAUGCGGAGGAACACCGAUGGCGAAGGCGGCUCACUGGACCGGAACUGACGCUGAGGCGCGAAAGCGUGGGGAGCAAACGGG
rnacentral:rRNA from 1 species